rnacentral:lncRNA from 1 species
AACUUCCCAAUCGGAGAAAUCCCCAGCCAACCAUACUAUCAUGACAUGAACUCUGGCGUGAACCUGCAGAGGUCGCUGUCUUCUCCACCGAGCAGCAAAAGACCCAAAACUAUAUCCAUAGAUGAAAAUAUGGAGCCAAGUCCUACAGGAGACUUUUACCCCUCUCCAAAUUCACCAGCUGCUGGAAGUCGAACAUGGCAUGAGCGAGAUCAAGAUAUGUCUUCUCCAACUACAAUGAAGAAGCCUGAGAAGCCACUGUUUAGCUCUACAUCUCCACAGGAUUCUUCCCCAAGAUUGAGCACUUUUCCCCAGCACCACCAUCCCGGAAUACCUGGAGUCGCGCACAGUGUCAUCUCAACUCGAACUCCACCUCCACCCUCACCGUUGCCAUUUCCAACGCAAGCUAUCCUUCCUCCAGCACCAUCAAGUUACUUUUCUCAUCCAACAAUCAGAUAUCCUCCUCACCUGAAUCCUCAGGAUACUCUGAAGAACUAUGUACCUUCUUAUGACCCGUCCAGUCCUCAAACGAGCCAGUCCUGGUACCUGGGCUAGCUUGGUUCCUUUUCAAGUGUCAAAUAGGACACCCAUCUUACCGGCAAAUGUCCAAAAUUAUGGUUUGAACAUAAUUGGAGAACCUUUCCUUCAAGCGGAGACAAGCAACUGAGGGGAAAGAAACACAACCAUAGUGUAAGAAAAUUAGGGGAAAAACACCCAACAAAAGAAAAGAGGAAGACUGGACAACAGGGAGAAAGGAGAGAAACUGAAGAAAGAAGACGCUAGACCAGCAUUGCAGCACUUCCGGUCACUAAUUCCCUUAAGGUUGAGACUGUAGUGACAGGAAAGGGUCAAUGACAUCUCACCGAUGCUAGACUGCAGCCCCUGCACCGUAGCCUUUGUUCCAUGAAGUCCGCUGGGAAAUAGAUGUUCUGUCUCUAUGACAAUAUAUUUUAACUGACUUUCUAGAUGCCUUAAUAUUUGCAUGAUAAGCUAGUUUUCUUGGUUAGUAUUCUUGUUGUUUACGCAUGGAGUCACUAUUCCUGGUUAUCUCAACAACGAAGGCUAGGAGGCGGCGUCAGAGGGGCUGGGGACAGAGCCAUGAGCCAGCCAUUUUAUAAGCACUCUGAUUUCUAAAAGUUAAAAAAAAUUAUAUAUAUAUAUAUAUAAAAAUCU